UAUCAUCUCCGUAAAAAAAAUUCUCCAGAAUUUGAUUUCGGUUUUCGUAUUUAUAAUGGGAAGGGAGGAGUUAGUUAGGAAUUCAAAAUUCGAAAUUCGAAUUUUGAAUUAUUUGUUGGAUGGUUGGAGGAUAUUUGGGGAGUGGUUGGGAAUUCAAAAUUUGAAAUUGAAUUUUGAAUGAGUUGUUGGAUAGUUGGAAGAUAUUUUGGGAGUGGUUGGGAAUUCAAAAUUCGAAAUUGAAUUUUGAAUAGGUUAUGGGAUGGUUGGAAGAUAUGUUGGGAAUUGGUUGGAGGUUCGAAAUUCGAAAUCGAAUUUUGAAUGGGUUGUUGGAGGAUAUUUUGGAAAUUGGUUGGAAAUUUGAAAUUCGAAUUCAAAAUCGAAUUUUGAAUAGAUUGUUGGAUAGUUGAAAGAUAUUUUGAGGAUAGAUUCAAAAUUUGAAAUCAAAUUUUGAGUAGGUCGUUGGAGGAUGUUUUGGGGAUUAGUUGGGAAUUCGAAAUUCGAAAUUGAAUUUCGAAUGGGUUGUUGGAUGAUGUUUUGGGGAUUAGUUGGGAAUUCGAAAUUCGAAAUCGAAUUUCGAAUGGGUUGUUGGAUGAUGUUUUGAAUCCAAAAAUCGAAUUUUGAAUGGGUUGUGAUUUGAAAUCGAAUUUCGAACAGAUAUUUUAUAUAAUGUGGAUGUGGGCCGUCGUUGAUCAGGCCCGCUUUAAUUUAUUGGGCCCAAAUGAUAAUAUUUAAUGGGCUGGAAUAAGGCCCCCCCUAUUCUCUUUUAUUUGUAUGGGCUUUCAUGAGGCCCACCAACUCACAUUUAUGAAUGGGCCUAUUGUGGAUUUUAAAUUGUAAUUAUUGGCCCCAAAAUUUUCUGGUCAACAUAAGACCUAUCAAAAUUAUUUGAGUCAGAAUCUAAUUGGUUUCGAUUAUGAUUAGAAAUUUUUUUUUUUUCACUUCAAACACACAUUUCGUGAGCCUAAUCGAGAGGAGCUAGUAUAUCAGGUGUCUAAAAGCUCGCUCUUCGUGGCGACUGUGUCGGCGGCACGGGCGAGGAAAAUGAUAAAGGGUGGUUGUCACGCCCCUGGACCGGCGGAGGCCCUCCCGGUAGCGUGCCCAGACCCGCCAUAUGUCUACACAUAUAAGGCGUCUAGGAUGAAAGCGGAAGUAAAAGCAAGUAAUAGAAUAAAUAGAAGAAGUGAAAUAACUAGCAACUAAUGAUAUCAGAGCGAGUAAAGUUCUAACAUCUACACCAAAGUAAAUAAGUAAAGCUAGACAAUAAAAGAAAUCAUAAGUAGUACAAUAACUGUCUCUAGUACAAAAAUGGUGGUCUCUAGUACACUGGUAA
rnacentral:lncRNA from 1 species